GGGGGAUUAGAUUAAUGGUAAAUCGCCGUUCUUACACAACGUCUAUAGAAGUUCGAUUCUUCUAUCCCCUA